ACUUGGAACCGGGAGAGGUAAGAGGUACUACAGGGGUAGGAGUGAAAUCUUGUAAUCCCUGUGGGACCACCUGUGGCGAAGGCGUCUUACCAGAACGGGUUCGACGGUGAGGGACGAAAGCUGGGGGCACGAACCGGAUUAGAUACCCGGGUAGUCCCAGCCGUAAACGAUGCUCGCUAGGUGUCAGGCAUGGCGCGACCGUGUCUGGUGCCGCAGGGAAGCCGUGAAGCGAGCCACCUGGGAAGUACGGCCGCAAGGCUGAAACUUAAAGGAAUUGGCGGGGGAGCACAACAACGGGUGGAAGCCUGCGGUUUAAUUGGACUCAACGCCGGACAACUCACCGGGGGCGACAGCAAUAUGUAGGCCAAGCUGAAGACUUUGCCUGAAUCGCUGAGGGGUGGUGCAUGG
rnacentral:rRNA from 1 species